rnacentral:rRNA from 1 species
AAUCCUUUAACGAGGAUCUAUUGGAGGGCAAGUCUGGUGCCAGCAGCCGCGGUAAUUCCAGCUCCAAUAGCGUAUAUUAAAGUUGUUGCGGUUAAAAAGCUCGUAGUUGGAUCUCGGUUUCACUCAGGUGGUACACCUUGCGGUGUUCACUAUCUGGGUGGACGUUUCUGUUGGUUCGCUCUUGGUGCUCUUCAUCGGGUGCCAUUUGGUGGCCAGCACGUUUACUUUGAAAAAAUUGGAGUGCUCAAAGCAGGCGUUACAGCCUGAACAUUAGUGCAUGGAAUAAUGGAAUAGGAUCUCGAUUCUAUUUCGUUGGCUUUCGGAGUCGAGGUAAUGAUUAAUAGGGACAGACGGGGGCAUUCGUACUGCGACGUUAGAGGUGAAAUUCUUGGAUCGUCGCAAGACGAACUACUGCGAAAGCAUUUGCCAAGAAUGUUUUCAUUAAUCAAGAACGAAAGUUAGAGGUUCGAAGGCGAUCAGAUACCGCCCUAGUUCUAACCAUAAACGAUGCCAACCGGCGAUCCGUCGUCGUUAAUUGAAUGACUCGACGGGCAGCCUCCGGGAAACCAGAGUGUUUGGGUUCCGGGGGAAGUAUGGUUGCAAAGCUGAAACUUAAAGGAAUUGACGGAAGGGCACCACCAGGAGUGGAGCCUGCGGCUUAAUUUGACCCAACACGGGAAAUCUCACCAGGCCCGGACACCGGAAGGAUUGACAGAUUGAGAGCUCUUUCUUGAUUCGGUGGGUGGUGGUGCAUGGCCGUUCUUAGUUGGUGGAGCGAUUUGUCUGGUUAAUUCCGAUAACGAACGAGACUCUGGCCUACUAACUAGAAGGUCUAUCCUUUAUGGGUAGGCCUCUGCUUCUUAGAGGGACGGGCGGCGUUUAGCCGCACGAGAAUGAGCAAUAACAGGUCUGUGAUGCCCUUAGAUGUUCUGGGCUGCACGCGCGCUACACUGAAGGAAUCAGCAUGUUCUCCCCUCCCUGAAAAGGGCGGGUAACCCGUUGAAACUCCUUCGUGAUGGGGAUUGGAGAUUGUAAUUAUUCUCCAUGAACGAGGAAUUCCCAGUAGGCGCGAGUCAUCAGCUUGCGUCGAUUACGUCCCUGCCCUUUGUACACACCGCCCGUCGCUACUACCGAUCGAGUGAUUUAGUGAGGACUUCGGACUGGUCUUCAAGUUGGCUUCGGUCGGCUCGAAGUUCCGGAAAGAUGCCCAAACUUGAUCACUUAGA